GAUGAACGCUGGCGGCGUGCCUAAUACAUGCAAGUCGAGCGAACGGACGAGAAGCUUGCUUCUCUGAUGUUAGCGGCGGACGGGUGAGUAACACGUGGAUAACCUACCUAUAAGACUGGGAUAACUUCGGGAAACCGUAGCUAAUACCGGAUAAUAUUUUGAACCGCAUGGUUCAAAAGUGAAAGACGGUCUUGCUGUCACUUAUAGAUGGAUCCGCGCUGCAUUAGCUAGUUGGUAAGGUAACGGCUUACCAAGGCAACGAUGCAUAGCCGACCUGAGAGGGUGAUCGGCCACACUGGAACUGAGACACGGUCCAGACUCCUACGGGAGGCAGCAGUAGGGAAUCUUCCGCAAUGGGCGAAAGCCUGACGGAGCAACGCCGCGUGAGUGAUGAAGGUCUUCGGAUCGUAAAACUCUGUUAUUAGGGAAGAACAUAUGUGUAAGUAACUGUGCACAUCUUGACGGUACCUAAUCAGAAAGCCACGGCUAACUACGUGCCAGCAGCCGCGGUAAUACGUAGGUGGCAAGCGUUAUCCGGAAUUAUUGGGCGUAAAGCGCGCGUAGGCGGUUUUUUAAGUCUGAUGUGAAAGCCCACGGCUCAACCGUGGAGGGUCAUUGGAAACUGGAAAACUUGAGUGCAGAAGAGGAAAGUGGAAUUCCAUGUGUAGCGGUGAAAUGCGCAGAGAUAUGGAGGAACACCAGUGGCGAAGGCGACUUUCUGGUCUGUAACUGACGCUGAUGUGCGAAAGCGUGGGGAUCAAACAGGAUUAGAUACCCUGGUAGUCCACGCCGUAAACGAUGAGUGCUAAGUGUUAGGGGGUUUCCGCCCCUCAGUGCUGCAGCUAACGCAUUAAGCACUCCGCCUGGGGAGUACGACCGCAAGGUUGAAACUCAAAGGAAUUGACGGGGACCCGCACAAGCGGUGGAGCAUGUGGUUUAAUUCGAAGCAACGCGAAGAACCUUACCAAAUCUUGACAUCCUUUGACAACUCUAGAGAUAGAGCCUUCCCCUUCGGGGGACAAAGUGACAGGUGGUGCAUGGUUGUCGUCAGCUCGUGUCGUGAGAUGUUGGGUUAAGUCCCGCAACGAGCGCAACCCUUAAGCUUAGUUGCCAUCAUUAAGUUGGGCACUCUAAGUUGACUGCCGGUGACAAACCGGAGGAAGGUGGGGAUGACGUCAAAUCAUCAUGCCCCUUAUGAUUUGGGCUACACACGUGCUACAAUGGACAAUACAAAGGGCAGCGAAACCGCGAGGUCAAGCAAAUCCCAUAAAGUUGUUCUCAGUUCGGAUUGUAGUCUGCAACUCGACUACAUGAAGCUGGAAUCGCUAGUAAUCGUAGAUCAGCAUGCUACGGUGAAUACGUUCCCGGGUCU
rnacentral:rRNA from 1 species